AGAAGGUGAGAAGAGACAAACUAGGUUAUU
rnacentral:piRNA from 1 species